UGGGGAAUUUUGGACAAUGGGCGAAAGCCUGAUCCAGCAAUGCCGCGUGUGUGAAGAAGGCCUUCGGGUUGUAAAGCACUUUUGUCCGGAAAGAAAUCCUUGGCUCUAAUACAGUCGGGGGAUGACGGUACCGGAAGAAUAAGCACCGGCUAACUACGUGCCAGCAGCCGCGGUAAUACGUAGGGUGCAAGCGUUAAUCGGAAUUACUGGGCGUAAAGCGUGCGCAGGCGGUUUGCUAAGACCGAUGUGAAAUCCCCGGGCUCAACCUGGGAACUGCAUUGGUGACUGGCAGGCUAGAGUAUGGCAGAGGGGGGUAGAAUUCCACGUGUAGCAGUGAAAUGCGUAGAGAUGUGGAGGAAUGCCGAUGGCGAAGGCAGCCCCCUGGGCCAAUACUGACGCUCAUGCACGAAAGCGUGGGGAGCAAACAGGAUUAGAUACCCUGGUAGUCCACGCCCUAAACGAUGUCAACUAGUUGUGGGGAUUCAUUCCUUAGUAACGUAGCUAACGCGUGAAGUUGACCGCCUGGGGAGUACGGUCGCAAGAUUAAAACUUAAAGGAAUUGACGGGGUCAUAGCUGUUUCCU
rnacentral:rRNA from 1 species